CCCUACUGCUAUCGGGAUGGGACUAAGACAUGCUAGUUUUGUGUCUUCAAGCUAUGAUGAAGACGCGGCGCACAGCUCAGUAACACGUGGCCAACCUGCCCUUGGGACAAGUAUAACCCCGGGAAACUGGGGAUAAUCCUUGAUAGGCAAGGAAUCCUGGAAUGGGUCUUUGUCUAAAGGACAAGUAGAUCAUGCUUUUACAUGUUGCCCAAGGAUGGGGCCGCGGCCGAUCAGGUUGUUGGUGAGGUAAUGGCUCACCAAGCCUAUAACCGGUACGGGCCGUGAAAGCGGAAGCCCGGAGAUGGGCACUGAGACAAGGGCCCAGGCCCUACGGGGCGCAGCAGUCGCGAAAACUCCGCAAUACGCGAAAGCGUGACAGGGCUAUCCCGAGUGCUAUUCGUUGAGAGUAGCUUUUCCUCAGUGUAAAGAGCUGGGGGAAUAAGGAGGGGGCAAGACUGGUGUCAGCCGCCGCGGUAAUACCAGCUCUCCGAGUGGUAGGGACGUUUAUUGGGCCUAAAGCAUCCGUAGCUUGCUGAGUGUGUCCUCCGUUAAAUCCAACGAUUUAAUCGUUGGGCUGCGGGGGAAACUGCUUAGCUAGGAGGCGGGAGAGGCCGACGGUAUUCCCGGGGUAGGGGUGAAAUCCUAUAAUCCCGGGACGACCACCAGUGGCGAAGGCUGUCGGCUAGAACGCGCUCGACGGUGAGGGAUGAAAGCUGGGGGAGCGAACCGGAUUAGAUACCCGGGUAGUCCCAGCUGUAAACGAUGCAGGCUAGGUGUUGGUGUGGCUACGAGCCGCUCCAGUGCCGCAGGGAAGCCGUUAAGCCUGCCGCCUGGGAAGUACGGCCGCAAGGCUGAAACUUAAAGGAAUUGGCGGGGGAGCACCACCAAGGGGUGAAGCUUGCGGUUU
rnacentral:rRNA from 1 species